GUAGGAUUUGCCGAGUUCCUUCUUUUUCUUUUAAUCUUUCCAUUAAUGUUCUUGUGUAAGGUUAACGUUUUGAUUUGUAGAGUUUUCUUGGUAUAGUUACUAAAGGGGGCUCAAUUUCGUUAAUUGCCAUUGGUUUGUCUAAUAUGGCUUAAGUUUACAUUUUGGAGAAAAAUUAUUUCUUGUUACUAGUUCUAGCAUUAUAUUUUUCAUAUUUUUAUGAAAUUACUCAAUAUUGGAGAAGGGUUUUAAAUGGUAUGGGGGAUUAGGAAAAGAAAAUGUUAAGCUUUAACGCUUUUAUGAAGGAUGGCUGCUUUUAGGCCCACUAGUCAUUUCAUUUUUUGAUAUAUUACCCUGUGGUGUAGGUUGUAUCCUGUUUCAAAUAAGCUGUGCCUUAUUUGAAUAGCUCUUAAAUUUAGUGGCGGUUUAGAGAAACUAGGAAAAACUUAAGGUUGAACUAAAAUUCUUUUCUUGAGUAACCAGCUAUUUCUGGGUGCGGUAGGUUUAUCACCUCUACUUGGAAAUCUUCCCACUCUAUUGCAACAGAGACGGGUUGGCUCUUACAGCUGUUUCGAAGUAGCUCACGUCAGUUUCGGGG
rnacentral:rRNA from 1 species